rnacentral:rRNA from 1 species
GGGGGGGGGGGGGGGGGGGCGGGGCGGGUGGGGGUCGGGCGGCGGCGCGGGGGCGGUCCGGGGGGCGGGUGGCGAACGGGGGAGUAAUACAGCGGAACGUGCCCGGUCGUGGGGGAUAACGUAGCGAAAGUUACGCUAAUACCGCAUACGAUCUGAGGAUGAAAGCGGGGGACCUUCGGGCCUCGCGCGAUCGGAGCGGCCGAUGUCAGAUUAGGUAGUUGGUGGGGUAAAGGCCUACCAAGCCGACGAUCUGUAGCUGGUCUGAGAGGACGACCAGCCACACUGGGACUGAGACACGGCCCAGACUCCUACGGGAGGCAGCAGUGGGGAAUUUUGGACAAUGGGCGCAAGCCUGAUCCAGCCAUUCCGCGUGCAGGACGAAGGCCUUCGGGUUGUAAACUGCUUUUGUACGGAACGAAAAGGCUCUGGCUAAUACCUGGGGCUCAUGACGGUACCGUAAGAAUAAGCACCGGCUAACUACGUG